GACGAACGCUGGCGGCGUGCUUAACACAUGCAAGUCGAACGGAAAGGCCCUGCCUUUGUGGGGUGCUCGAGUGGCGAACGGGUGAGUAACACGUGAGUAACCUGCCCCUGACUCUGGGAUAACCUCAGGAAACUGGGGCUAAUACCGGAUAGGAGCUCCUGCUGCAUGGUGGGGGUCGGAAAAUUUCGGCGGUUGGGGAUGGACUCGCGGCUUAUCAGCUUGUUGGUGGGGUAGUGGCUUACCAAGGCUUUGACGGGUAGCCGGCCUGAGAGGGUGACCGGCCACAUUGGGACUGAGAUACGGCCCAGACUCCUACGGGAGGCAGCAGUGGGGAAUAUUGCACAAUGGGCGGAAGCCUGAUGCAGCAACGCCGCGUGCGGGAUGACGGCCUUCGGGUUGUAAACCGCUUUCGCCUGUGACGAAGCGUGAGUGACGGUAAUGGGUGAAGAAGCACCGGCUAACUACGUG
rnacentral:rRNA from 1 species